rnacentral:rRNA from 1 species
CCAUGCCUACGGGGGGCAGCAGUAAGGGAUAUUGGUCAAUGGGGGAAACCCUGAACCAGCAACGCCGCGUGAGGGAAGACGGUUUUCGGAUUGUAAACCUCUGUCCUCUGUGAAGAUGAUGACGGUAGCAGAGGAGGAAGCCCCGGCUAACUACGUGCCAGCAGCCGCGGUAAUACGUAGGGGGCAAGCGUUAUCCGGAUUUAUUGGGCGUAAAGGGCUCGUAGGCGGAUCGGCGCGUCCGGUGUG